GACGAACGCUGGCGGCGUGCCUAAUACAUGCCAGUAGGACGCAGUUGCGAACGGGAGAGUAACGCGUAGGUAACUACCUAUUAGAGGGGGAUAACUAUUGGACACGAUAGCUAAUACCGCAUACUCGUAGAUGGAACUGCGUGUUAUUAGCUAGUAGGUAGGGUAAUGGACUAACAAGGCAACGAUACAUAGCCGACCUGAGAGGGGGAUCGGCCACACUGGGACUGAGAGCCGUCCCAGACGCCUACGGGAGGCAGCAGUAGGUAAUCUUCGGGAAUGUGGGGAACCCUGACCGAGCAACGCCGCGUGAGUGAAGAAGGUUUUCGGAUCGUAAAGCUCUUUUGUUAAGGAAGCGGUACUUAACCAGAAAGGGACGGCUAACUACGUGCCAGCAGCCGCGGUAAUAC
rnacentral:rRNA from 1 species